rfam:Brachypodium distachyon strain Bd21 chromosome 2, whole genome shotgun sequence.
ACUGUACCCCUUCCGUCCAACAAAAGAUGUCUCAAAUUUGUCAAAAUUUAGAUGUAUCUAGACAUGACUUCGUGUAUAGAUGCAUUCAAAUUUAGGUAAAGUUGAAACAUCCUGUGUUGGACGGAGAAAUAUAAU